rnacentral:lncRNA from 1 species
GUCUUCAGAUCACGCCCGCCUGCCCACCUGUGCCGUGACGACCGGCAGGGGCUGGACGCCGAGGCCAGAGCGCCCGCGAUGAGAAGUCGAGAUCCCUGACGGUCUUCUUUUUAUCUCGCCCAGUUCUGUUUCGGCACCAGAAUGACUCUCGGCCCCCCUGACACAGCCCCGCAAACGCUCUCCACUGGUGCUGCUGGGGCGAAUCGGUGCCCCUGAGGCAGCCCGAGGGUCAGCACGUCCCUGGGCUCACAGGACGUCUGGGUCGGAGCCUUUGGAUCCUAAGGCCCAGCUCAGUCAGAAGCACAAGCGUCCUGUGGGCUUCUCCCGAAACCAGAGUGUGCUUCUGGGAGACGCCGAAGUCGCGGCCGGCUGCUCCUGGCUGGCCACAGCCACCUGCUCCUUUCUGCUUCUCCUGGUGAAUUCUUGAAUCUCACUCUUAAUCAGCUGUGUCUGAGAAAAGUAUGAAGUUGUGUUUAUUAAGCUGCAGCUUGAAAAAGAGAAGCAGGUGACUGGGAGACCUGGCCUGUCACAAGCCACGGUGAGGGCUCUUAGGCUUGCGGUGGGGACUCUGGGUGUGCAGCUGACAAGGUGAGACGCCCCUGUGGCGGCUGAUUGGAACCUACAAGCCAGGAGACAGCCAGGAGGGCUGCAGGAGGGGAGAGCCCCAGGAGCCCCAGCCUGCGGCGGCUCCAGCCUGCGUGGUGACGGCCUGGAGGGGCUCUGACCCGAGUGUGGGCCUGGCUUCCUCCCAGCACACAGGGUUGGCCUCCACAGUGUCCAGCCACUGAGCCCAGGCGCUGCACAGGACGGGCUCAGCCCUCAGGGAGUCUUCUAUCUGCCUGAAGCUGUCAGGAAAGUCACUCAUCUGCGAUGCCCCUGGGGUACCUGCCUCACCACGGAAGCUGACAGUGUACCCCAGGCAUGGCCGAC